rnacentral:rRNA from 1 species
AGAGUUUGAUCAUGGCUCAGGACGAACGCUGGCGGCGUGCUUAACACAUGCAAGUCAAGGGGGCCCAGCAAUGGGCAACCGGCGAACGGGUGCGUAACACGUGAGCAACCUACCGAACUGUGGGGGAUAGCCGGCCUAACGGCCGAGUAAUACCGCAUACGCUUUCAGUGAGGCAUUUCAUUGAAAGGAAACCUACGGGACAGAUCGAGGGGCUCGCGGCCUAUCAGCUAGUUGGCGAGGUAACGGCUCACCAAGGCGACGACGGGUAGCUGGUCUGAGCGGAUGGCCAGCCACAUUGGGACUGAGAUACGGCCCAGACUCCUACGGGAGGCAGCAGUGGGGAAUCUUGCGCAAUGGCCUAACGGCUGACGCAGCGACGCCGCGUGUGGGAUGAAGCUCCUCGGAGUGUAAACCACUGUUGCCCGGGACGAAUAGCUCGAUUCAUCGAGCCUGACGGUACCGGGUGAGGAAGCACCGGCUAACUCCGUGCCAGCAGCGGCGGUAAUAC